AGCGAACGCUGGCGGCAGGCCUAACACAUGCAAGUCGAACGGAUCCUUCGGGAUUAGUGGCGGACGGGUGAGUAACACGUGGGAACGUGCCUUUUGGUUCGGAACAACUCAGGGAAACUUGAGCUAAUACCGGAUAAGCCUUUCGAGGGAAAGAUUUAUCGCCAUUAGAGCGGCCCGCGUAGGAUUAGCUAGUUGGUGGGGUAAAGGCCCACCAAGGCUACGAUCCUUAGCUGGUCUGAGAGGAUGAUCAGCCACAUUGGGACUGAGACACGGCCCAAACUCCUACGGGAGGCAGCAGUGGGGAAUAUUGGUCAAUGGACGCAAGUCUGAACCAGCCAUGCCGCGUGAAGGAUGACGGCCCUCUGGGUUGUAAACUUCUUUUAUCUGGGACGAAAAAAGGUCAUUCUUGAUCACUUGACGGUACCAGAGGAAUAAGCACCGGCUAACUCCGUG
rnacentral:rRNA from 1 species